AUUGAACGCUGGCGGCAUGCCUUACACAUGCAAGUCGAACGGCAGCACGGGAGCAAUCCUGGUGGCGAGUGGCGAACGGGUGAGUAAUAUAUCGGAACGUGCCCAGUCGUGGGGGAUAACGUAGCGAAAGCUACGCUAAUACCGCAUACGAUCUAUGGAUGAAAGCGGGGGAUCGCAAGACCUCGCGCGAUUGGAGCGGCCGAUAUCAGAUUAGCUAGUUGGUGGGGUAAAAGCUCACCAAGGCGACGAUCUGUAGCUGGUCUGAGAGGACGACCAGCCACACUGGAACUGAGACACGGUCCAGACUCCUACGGGAGGCAGCAGUGGGGAAUUUUGGACAAUGGGCGCAAGCCUGAUCCAGCAAUGCCGCGUGCAGGAUGAAGGCCUUCGGUUGUAAACUGCUUUUGUACGGAACGAAACGGUGAGCUCUAAUAAAGCUUGCUAACUGACGGUACCGUAAGAAUAAAGCACCGGCUAACU
rnacentral:rRNA from 1 species